CUUGCGAUAGCUCAGUUGGUAGAGCGGAGGACUGUAGUUCUUUAGGUCGUUGGUUCAAGCCCAACUCGCAAGA
rnacentral:tRNA from 1 species